rnacentral:rRNA from 1 species
GACGUAGGGCGCGAGCGUGUCCGGAUUUAUUGGGCGUAAAGAGCUCGUAGGCGGCUUGUUACGUCGUUCGUGAAAACUUGGGGCUCAACCCCCAAGCUUGCGGUCGAUACGGGCAGGCUAGAGUUCGGUAGGGGAGACUGGAAUUCCUGGUGUAGCGGUGAAAUGCGUAGAUAUCAGGAGGAACACCGGUGGUGUAGACGGCUUUCUGGACCGACACUGACGCUGAGACACGAAAGCGUGGGUAGCAAACAGG